AACACCUCAGUUUUGCUCUGAUAGUUCGUGUCAAUGUUGGUGGGUUUUGAGUUUUUUUUUACGGUUAAAAAGCAGCUAUAGUAGGUUGCAUUUUUGUGAAGACUACACAGUUGUUUAGGCAGUCAAGACUACAAAAAAAAUGCCUAAUUUAAAUUUAAAGUAUCAUACAUUUAUAUAAUAAUACCUCAAAAAUUCUUUAUUGUUGUAUUUGUUUCAAUGCAAUAAUGUUUUGCUAUAGAUAUUAAAUUGACUAUCUCCUUAUACUAGUACUUCUUAUUAUAGUUGUCAUUGUUUUUUAUAACAUAAGAUUGUGUUCUAAGAAUACUGAUAUUGGGGUUUCUAAAGUCCCUUUGCCUCACAAAGUUGUCAUAUUGAUUAUGGUGCAAACAAAAAGUUGAAGUUAAUAUUUUGAAUGAUGUUUACAGGUAGCUUAAGUAUGAGCAGAAAGUGGUAAAGGAUAAUCCUCAUCCAAAGUUAUCGCAAGUAUGAGCAGAAAGUGGUAAACCUCAUCCAAGGUGAUCUAUCAAUCUAUUUUUCUAAAGUAUUGUGUGAAUUUUUAUAAAAAAGUUUCAUAUAUUUCUGAUACACUGAAAGAUAAGUAUGCUUAUUAAAGGCCAUCAUUUUCAUUUGUUGGACCUAGACAUUCCUUACGUUUAGGGACCCUUUGUAUCAUUGUUUUGAUGCAUUAUUUAUUCUCUCCAACCCAUGCCCACCCCCUAACCCUCCUCUUUCAUCUAAAUGUGGUAAUGUAUUUCUUCCCUCCCUUUCUUAAACAUAUUAGACUAGUUAUAUCAUCUUAUUAAAUCUUCUUUAACAAGUAUUUUAAGAAGUUUUUAAUUGUAAAAGUUAUAAGUUUAAAAUCUUCUUUAACAAGUAUUUUAAGAAGUUUUUAAUUGUAGAAGUUAUAAGUUUAAGCUUUAACUUUUAUAUAUUCUUGGUAAGGUUAGAUUGUUUGCAAGUAUUUACUAUUAAUAAAAAAAAACAUUUUAAUCCUAAAAAAGUCUUACAAAAAACUUUCAUUAAAGAUAGUGUAAAUUUAUAUUAUAAGUCAAAUUAAUUAAUCACGUUACAUGUUGAUUAUGUCGAACUUGGUCUUUUAUCUGAUAGUGUUUACUUUAUAUGGAACCUUGAAGGUUAUUAUUGGAGAAAGCAGGUAACAAGUCCAAGUACAACUAUCCAACCAACAACAAGCAUCGAUAUCAAGACAUUGAUUAUGUACAUUAUUAGGAGUUUUAAGUUUUUUAUUUUGGAUUAUGUUUUGAAUUAGGAUUAUAAGUUGACUUACUUUUUUAUUUAUAUUAUCUUUGACUUAUUUUAUAUGAUGAGACUACAUAAGUGGAUUUGAAAUUAAUUGUAUUUUAUUUUAUGUUAGAUGUAUUGGAAGAUGAUUAAUUGUUGUAUUGAAUAUUAUAGGUUCAAUACAAUUGGUAAUAGAUGGUUUAAUUUGGAAAAUUUUGAUAUGUUGGAUGUUUUGGAUAGUUGAAUGUUUCAUUAUGCAGGAGUAAACGAUUUAAAAAAACAA
rnacentral:lncRNA from 1 species